rnacentral:misc_RNA from 1 species
GAUGAAGAACGUAGCGAAAUGCGAUAAGUAAUGUGAAUUGCAGAAUUCAGUGAAUCAUCGAAUCUUUGAACGCACAUUGCGCCCGCCAGUAUUCUGGCGGGCAUGCCUGUCCGAGCGUCAUUUCAACCCUCGAACCCCUCCGGGGGGUCGGCGUUGGGGACUUCGGGAACCCCUAAGACGGGAUCCCGGCCCCGAAAUACAGUGGCGGUCUCGCCGCAGCCUCUCCUGCGCAGUAGUUUGCACAACUCGCACCGGGAGCGCGGCGCGUCCACGUCCGUAAAACACCCAACUUUCUGAAAUGUUGACCUCGGAUCAGGUAGGAAUACCCGCUGAACUUAAGCAUAUCAAUAAGCGGAGGA